rnacentral:rRNA from 1 species
GUGCAGCAGCCGCGGUAAUACCGGCAGCCCGAGUGAUGGCCACUCUUAUUGGGCCUAAAGCGUCCGUAGCUGGGUCUGAAAGUCCAUCGGGAAAUCCACUCGCUCAACGAGUGGCCGUCCGGUGGAAACUCCACACCUUGGGACCGGAAGGCUCGAAGGGUACGGCCGGGGUAGGAGUGAAAUCCUGUAAUCCCGUCCGGACCACCGAUGGCGAAAGCACUUCGAGAAAACGGAUCCGACAGUGAGGGACGAAAGCCAGGGUCUCCAACCGGAUUAGAUACCCCGGUAGUCC